CGUGAGAUGUAAGUAACUUGUUCUCCUCGUCGCAAAAAAUAUGCCCAAAUAUAAGGUUGAUUAUAAUGGCAACAACCUUCCCAGUGAAAAAUGGAAUAUUAGAACCAUGCAUGUUUCUAAGGAGCUCACUAAGGCAAAGAGAGACCAAGGAGUAAGACAAGACCAAACAUCCACGUGGAAGGAGAACCGCAUCUGGAACCUGUGUCUCCUCUGUAUAGACCACGUCACUGCACUUUCCACUGCCAGAGAGUGUAUGGAAUUCUGGUGAUUGCUCCCUCCUUCCAUCAAGAGCAAUUGCUUCUACAAAAUUCAGGGAAGCCAACAACCAAGCAAAAUUAUCCUUCCUGACUCCAGCCACAUGCUAUCCAACCUUCAUGUUUAUUGAUUCAAACAUCUACUCAGAGAAGAGCUGGAGGAACCCCCAGCCACCACACUCUAUCCCCAAAGGGAAGCUAAGUGCUCCAAUGACAUUUGCUCACAGAAUGUUCUGCCAGGUAAGAAAUGCUGAGCAAAUUCCAAGCAUGAACGUGUGGCUGAAAAAGAAUCAGAAUGCAAAUGUGUUCCCCAAAGUUGACCUCACAAAAUGCUCCUCGCUGAUUUUAUUCACAAGUAGUUAUUUGUUACCAGAGUCUGACUAGCUUUAUGGAAAUUAUAAGUAAAAGAAUACCACUGGUCAAGACAAUGAAACCGCUCCUAAGGGAUAGCACGGAGCGAGGGCAGCCUUGGGCACAGUGUUCCUACUGUA